CAAGGGGGUGAAGGACUUGAGGGCUGCAACUGUGCGGCUAGCCACACCGUCACACUGGGUGCAGCAUCUGUCAUUCUGUACCCUCAUCU
ensembl:miRNA